AGUAGAGUCAGCUAAAAAAGCUACCGGGCCCAUACCCCGAAAAUGUCCACAGGACCUUUACUA
rnacentral:tRNA from 1 species